rnacentral:rRNA from 1 species
AUACGUAGGGAGCGAGCGUUGUCCGGAUUUACUGGGUGUAAAGGGUGCGUAGGCGGCUCUGCAAGUCAGGUGUGAAAACCGUCGGCUUAACUGAUGGACUGCAUUCGAAACUGUGGGGCUUGAGUGGAGUAGAGGCGGACGGAAUUCCCGGUGUAGCGGCGAAAUGCGUAGAGAUCGGGAAGAACACCAGUGGCGAAGGCGGUCUGCUGGGCUCUAACUGACGCUGAGGCACGAAAGCAUGGGUAGCAAACAGGAUUAGAUACCCUGGUAGUCCAUGCCGUAAACGAUGAUUCUAGGUGUGGGGAGUCUGACCCUCUCCGUGCCGGAGUUAACACAAUAAGUAAUCCACCUGGGAAGUACGACCGCAAGGUUGAA